rnacentral:ncRNA from 1 species
GUAAAACCGCUGAUUGGGAAAUAAAACAUUUUAGUUGCUUACAGAGAAUCGGUGUUGCUGGAAAUCCGAUAGAGAUGACGAUUUGUAAAUGGACCCAUGAGGGACUGAUGAAAGCUUAAGCUAAUUAGGUGAGUAUCCCAGUACGGAGGCUUCCGUUAAAAAGCAGAGGAUGUGUUGGCAUCUUCACAAGAGAGAGUAAUUUUAUUACUAAAAAAGGUGGUACCGCAGGCUAUGCUUGUCCUUUUA